UAUUAGUACAACUGAAUGGUAAUUGGUUCUCUUAACUGAAAAAAUACAACCGCCGCCUCUUUCAAUCGGAAACACCAUCGGAGAAAAAAUGGGGGCGGAGGCCGAGAAUAAUCAGCAAGCACCAACACCUGCGACAAAUCCGAGCCCCAAUCCCAUCACAGAAGCUCAAUUCGCCGCCUGGAAACGCCGAAAGGAUGCCGAUGCUGAUGCCAUAAAAUUGGCAGCUGCAAGGAAGCGUGAGGAGGAUAUAGCAGCAGGGGUGGUUCAGAUGAACGGCCGUGAACUCUUUGAGCGGGAACCAUGGGUUUUCAAUGACACAAAUUACUAAGGAAAAUCAUUGGUCUUGUAAGAUGGUGUAUUUGCAUGGUUGCAAAAUCCAAACGAUGGGAUUUUGUGUUGGAGAAAAAUCUAUAUAUUAUACUGAAACAAAGUUGUAUCUCAGAUUAUAUUGUAUGCGUCAAAUUUGAGUUUGCAGUAUAUGUGAAGUUUGUUACUCUUUUUUAUUUUAUGGCUUAAUGUGACAUGUUAAUGAUCAAAAGUUUAAGAUUAA